UACGAGGGGGGCGAGCGUUGUUCUGAAUUAUUGGGCGUAAAGGGUGCGUAGGCGGUUUGGUAAGUCUGAUGUGAAAUCUAUGGGCUCAACUCAUAGUCUGCAUCGGAAACUGCCGGGCUUGAGUGUGGGAGAGGUGAGUGGAAUUCCUGGUGUAGCGGUGAAAUGCGUAGAUAUCGGGAGGAACACCUGUGGCGAAAGCGGCUCACUGGACCACAACUGACGCUGAGGCGCGAAAGCUAGGGGAGCAAACAGG
rnacentral:rRNA from 1 species